rnacentral:rRNA from 2 species
CGGGGGGGGGGCACGGGGGGCCUACGGGGGGGGGGAGUGGGGAAUUUUGGACAAUGGGGGCAAGCCUGAUCCAGCCAUGCCGGGUGGGGGAAGAAGGCCUUUGGGUUGUAAACUUCUUUUGGAAGGAAAGAAACGGUUUGGUUUAAUACAGUGGGCUCAUGACGAUACAGAAAGAAUAAACACCGGCUAACUACGUG